CCGGCUAACUCCGUGCCAGCAGCCGCGGUAAUACGGAGGGUGCGAGCGUUAAUCGGAAUUACUGGGCGUAAAGCGCAUGCAGGCGGCCUGUUAAGUUCAGAUGUGAAAGACCCGGGGCGUUAACCUUCCGGAAAUUGCAUUUGUAAACUAGGCAGGCUAGAGUCUUGUUAGAGGGGGGUAGGGAAGUUUACUAGGUGUAGCGGUGAAAUAGCGUAGAGAUCUGAAGGAAUACCAGUGGCGAAGGCGGCCCCCUCGGACAAAGACUGACGCUCAGAUGCGAAAGCGUGGGGAGCAAACAGGAUUAGAUACCCUGGUAG
rnacentral:rRNA from 1 species